UCCAGUCUCGCCCUCUCUGAGGUGGGAAAGACCAGGGUUUGAGACUCUGAAUGAGGUCCAAAUGAACCAUUAACAUAACAUCUGCCCAAAGAAAGUUCCAUUCAAAGGAUAAGGAAGACCAGGCGCAUUAGUCUUCUACCCAGAAUCAAGGGAUGAGAGAAGGAGGACCAGUCCCUCAACCCGCUCUAGUGUCAGCAAGCUGCUGUUGCUCUUGAGAAGUCCUUUGUUACAAAAUCCCGUGGCACGGCUUUCUACAGAGAAUUGCCCCCUUUGAAGAUUUGCCCCAGUGGUCGUCGUGUUAGCUGCUUCGGUGAAGAAAUAAAAAGGCAUGCCUUAGAUCAACUAUUACUUAUGAAAGGACACCUAGACAUGAAUUCGAAAGGUUUACAUUGUCAAACCAGGGAAGGAGGCAGAGAAGGAAGAUUGUAUCCCUACCUCGGAACGCAGGGGCUAAGGAGCAAGCCAGAAACGUAAAGCCCGUGGCAUUUCCUAUGAGAGUCUUCUCUGGAAGCCAAAGCAAUCACAGAAUGACAGGCCAAAGCUGGUGCUGCACACCUCAAGCUCAACGUACAUGGAAACCAAAGAGUGGCUCUUUUCAAUUAGAAACAUAAAAUGACUGAUGUUAACCGACAAAAUUUGAGGUGGGCAUUUAUGUUUGGUCUCUCUGGUUCAACAGAGUUCUGACACCAAGCUUAGUGUGGUACGUGGAGCAAAGAAGUUGCUGAAUACUUUCUAUGAGCCACUGGAACACUCACCCCACCCCACAACGAUUCUGCUAGCUCGAGCAAUCUAUUGUUCUACGCAGAAAACAAGAAGUGAAAAUGGGUAACUUUGGAGUCCACGUGUUGAACAUUCCCUGGGAAGAAACCUGAGUCUCUGAAUGACUCCAUGGAGCAGAGCCCUUUCACACCACCACACACCUACUCUCUGCUCACCUGUUGGUCUGUGAAAUGCAGCAGCAAAAGACCAUAAUGUGUUCAGACACCAAGGAUUUGGGGUUGUUUGUUACAGAAGAUAUCCUAUCCUGAUUUAUUCAAACAUUUAGCCCACAGUAAUGUUUAUUAAAUAGACCUGUGCAAGAAUGGACUGGUCACUUUGGCAACCUGGAAACUGUACUUCAUGCAAGCACCCCAGGAAUGUUUGUUACUCCGAAUGUGUAUCCAUAAUAUUGUCAGUAAGCCACAUUUGCCAAGAAACCCAGGAAAACACUGAAGUUUGCCAGCCUGGAAGAUAAUUCACAUCCCCAGAGUAAAAAAUGCUACUUAUCCGUUCUCAUCUCCAGGCCGCAUGCUAUAUCUGUAUUCACGUUUCAAUAUUGAUUCAAAAUAUCACUUACCUCUUUCAUUGUGGUUUCCUCUCCAAGAUUUAUUUCCUCAGAAAGGUUGGUUCCUCACCAUAGUUACAUAUUUCUGAGAUUAAGUCUUUCUACCUUGCCCUGCUAUUUUUUUCCUUGUUAUUUUACCACAUUAUGUCUUAUCAGUAAGAAUUGACAGCCCCCUGGGAAAGAACUGGUUUGAAAUGAUGUGCACAGUAAUCAGGUGCUUGUCUAAGGAUAUUUCCGUGCAAUGGGAGUUCCUUCAGUGUGGUCUGCAGCCCAGGAUCAUCAGCAUUACCCAGAGAAAUAAAGCAAUGCAGACUCUCAGGACCUAUCCCAGACCUACAGAAUCUAAAUCUUCAUCUUAACUAGAUCUCAAUGUGGUUCCUAUUGUUGAAAGAACUUUCUAGGCCCAAGAUGGAGCCACUCCUGCCCAGGGUGCCACGUCAGCAAACUGAAACUUAGAUAACUUUAGUAACCCCCUCAAUGUCAACUUAACUACAAACGCAGUACAUUCCAGUCAGCCAAUCCCCAAAAGCCAGGCCACCUCUGGGCUCUGUACUCACUUCCUCACUCCUUCUCACCCCAAGGCUGACUAUGUGUCCUAGCCAAUCAGAUAUUUUCUAUUUUCCUCUUCCUUGUUGGUUAUUCUUUAUCCUUUAAAAGCUUCCUGCCUCCAACCCAUCUUUCAGUUCUCCAAAUGGAGACUAUCUGCCUCACAAAAUGUUAAAUCAAGUUUG